GUGGGGCGGGGCCGGUUUGUGGUGUGGCCACGCCCUCUCCCCGCCCCGCCGUUCGGGGCCCGCCCCUUUUCCCGUCCCACGCAGCGGCAGGCUAGUUGCUUAAGUCAGUUUGCAGGUGUUUGAGGGAGCCGACUGCUGCCUCCCUACCCGCAGUGACUGUUUCGGGCAGUGCCAGAGAUUCUCGACGGUGGGUUCACUUUGCAUCCACCCUCCUUGUUGCAGUCGGCGGGGCUCGGUGCUCGAUUCCGGCCCAGGCCUCUUGGGCCCCUCUAACUUCUCUGCACCUCCUGGGCUUCUCAGGGACACCUGCAGACCUUGGGUUCACCCUGCCAAGUUGGGGCCUGCCCACGGGACCAGGGAGCCAGCCCAAGGUGGAACCUGGGAGCCUCAAGUGUUGGGGAAGCCCGGGAACCUACCGCGUAGCCUGUUUGGAGGGGCUGUGUGGCUGCCAGGGUAUUCUUCACUCGGAUCCGUGGGAGGCUUGAUUCCUGAGAAUGAGAGCCUGCAAGCUGGGAGAGAGACAGAGGGAGAGAGAAUCCCAAGCAGGCUCCGCACUCACACAGAGCCUGACACGGGGCUUGAUCCCACCACCCUGGGAUCGUGACCUGAGCCAUCACUGAGAGUCAGAGCUCAAUGGACUGAGCGCCCCAGGCGCCCCUCCAUUCUAUUUCUGCUGACAUUUAGAUGGGUUCCAGAUACCGUCUCUGUGGCUAAGAACGUCCAUGUGUGUGUCCUAGUGCGUGUGUUCUUAUGGUUGUGUAUAACUGAAGGUCGGAGUGUGUGCAGGUUUUACUUUAAUAGGUAAUGCCGAACUGUU